rnacentral:rRNA from 1 species
AGCUCCAAUAGCUUUGUUGAAAGUUGCUGCAGUUAAAAAGCUCGUAGUUGAAUAUCCGGCGUCUCUGACGUCUGCCUACCACGACUUACGACACCGAAUGGGGUUGUAUGCUCGUUUAGGCUUUACUGUGAACAAAUUAGAGUGCUCAAAACAGGCUUUUGCUUGGAUUUUUUAGCAUGGAAUAAUGAAAUACGACUUCGCUCAUUUUAUUGGUUCUUGGACGAAGUAAUGGUUAACAGGAACAGUUGGGGGCAUUCGUACUUAAAAGUCAGAGGUGAAAUUCUUAGAUUUUUUAAAGACGAACUAAUGCGAAGGCAUUUGCCAAGGAUGUUUUCA